rnacentral:lncRNA from 1 species
CCUGUCCCGGCGUGGGUGACCGCGGACCCGGCCAGCCCCGCCCGCUGGGGCCCGCGCCGUCGGAAGAGCCCCGUGAUCCAGCAGGUUGCAGGGUUCCAGCGCAGCCGGCAAACCCGAUCCGGGUUGCGUUUCUCAUCCUGGAGGACGGCCCCAGGUCUUUCGGGGAUCUGUGUCUGCUCUCCGAUGAGCCACUGUUCGCGCGGCAGUAUGGGUGUGCGUCUCUACCGAAGAUAAAGAUGACGCCCCUCCAGUGGCUGCACAGUGGUGGGGAACCUGCGGCACACAGGUUGCGUGUGUUUCCUGUAGGACUAAAGAACACCUUGACUGAAAUGGAAGAAGCCAGGCUGUUCUACUAAAGGACCACGUAGAACAAAAGCUCACACAAAGAGAGGUCCCAGCCCUGCCGACAUCCCAGUCGAGGCUCCAGACUCGUGAAUAAUGCCAUCCGGAAUACUUCAGCCAGACCGAUAGAAAGGCCCUGCCCAGUUCCUUGUUAUGUACCCACACGGUGCUGCAUGUGCCCCACGGAAACAGAGAAGAAGAAUGAUCUACCCCAAAGGUGGACUUGCUACCACUCAUCUCCUAACUGCUUAAAACUGUAAAAUUACCUUUGUUUCCCUUUUCAUAGUUCAAGUAUGUUAGCACCAGUUUCUAAUUAAAGGCAAAUCAAAGUGCCACAUUUCUGAUCCCCUUUGCAGCCCCGGUGUACUUCAAACCUGUAGGAGAAGUUAGCCUUGACACUGAGGCAAGGAGAGGCUUCCUUCCCUCCCCUUCUCACGCUGGGGUUGUGGCCUUUCUCCAUUAGAGAAAGCAAAGUGUUUUCAUUAAAUGACUCUAACGUCCUGUAUUACAUUAAUACUUUGCAAGUAUAAAACAGAAUAGAAAACGCAUGCAUAUGAAAUUUGAAAGCCUCAAGCUAGAGAUAUAGGGAGGGAAUCAAAUGUGAUGGUCGUAAAAUGGAGUGUGCUGAGAAGCUGGAUUUAAAUUAAAAUUCUGUUUCAGUCUGACCUUAAAACAUGGCAGGUGCUAUGAGGCAAGUGCAUCUUACCCGCUGCCACCAGGAAAUCAUUACUGGGACAGUGUGUAGUGCAGUGGUUUGUCUCCACUUACC